UACGGGGGGGGCAAGCGUUGUUCGGAAUUACUGGGCGUAAAGGGUUCGUAGGUGGCUUUCUAAGUCAGACGUGAAAUCCCUCAGCUUAACUGGGGAACUGCGUCUGAAACUGGCGAGCUUGAGUGCAGGAGAGGAACGCGGAAUUCCAGGUGUAGCGGUGAAAUGCGUUGAUAUCUGGAGGAACACCGGUGGCGAAGGCGGCGUUCUGGACUGUAACUGACACUGAGGAACGAAAGCCAGGGGAGCAAACGGG
rnacentral:rRNA from 1 species